rnacentral:rRNA from 1 species
GCUUGUCUCAAAGAUUAAGCCAUGCAUGUCUUAGUGUAAAUAACUCUUAUGAAACUGCGAAUGGCUCAUUAAAUCAGUUAUCGUUUAUUUGAUGGUCCCUUACUACAUGGAUAACCGUAGUAAUUCUAGAGCUAAUACAUGCUAAAAAUCCCGACUUCGGAAGGGAUGUAUUUAUUAGAUUAAAAACCAAUGCCCUUCGGGGCUCUCUGGUGAUUCAUAAUAACUUCUCGAAUCGCACGGCCUUGCGCCGGCGAUGGUUCAUUCAAAUUUCUGCCCUAUCAACUUUCGACGGCUGGGUCUUGGCCAGCCGUGGUGACAACGGGUAACGGAGGGUUAGGGCUCGACCCCGGAGAAGGAGCCUGAGAAACGGCUACUACAUCCAAGGAAGGCAGCAGG